rnacentral:rRNA from 1 species
GUAACCGGCCUACCAAGGCAAUGACGGGUAGCCGGUCUGAGAGGACGAUCGGCCACACUGGGACUGAGAUACUGCCCAGACUCCUACGGGAGGCUGCAGUCGAGAAUCUUCCGCAAUGGGCGAAAGCCUGACGGAGCGACACCGCGUGCAGGAUGAAGGCCUUCGGGUUGUAAACUGCUGUCACGCUAUAGGAAUUCCCUGCUGUUAAUAGCUUCAGGGUUGACCAAAGCGAGAGGAAGCACCGGCUAACUCCGUGCCAGCAGCCGCGGUAAGACGGAGGGUGCAAACGUUGUUCGGAAUCACUGGGCAUAAAGCGCACGUAGGCGGCUAAGUCAGUCUGGUGUGAAAGCCCUCGGCUCAACCGGGGAACUGCAUCGGAUACUGCUUGGCUUGAGGAUGGUAGGGGUGAGUGGAACUCCUGGUGGAGCGGUGAAAUGCGUAGAUAUCAGGAGGAACACCAGUGGCGAAAGCGACUCACUGGGCCAUUUCUGACGCUGAGGUGCGAAAGCUAGGGUAGCGAACGGGAUUAGAUACCCCGGUAGUCCUAGCC